rnacentral:tRNA from 1 species
ACAGCUCAGCAGGUAGAGCAUGAGACUCUUAAUCUCAGGAUCAUGGGUUUGAGCCCCAUGUUGGGCA